GAUCAGACGAGACUACCCGCUGAAUUUAAGCAUAUCACUAAGCGGAGGAAAAGAAACUAACNAGGAUUCCCGUAGUAACGNGAGUGAAGCGGGAAGAGCCCAGCGCCGAAUCCCACGGCUCGUAGUCGCUGGGAACUGUGGCGUAUAGGACAGCCUCUGUGCCGCGUUCGGGUGCCCGAGUCCUCCUGAUCGGGGCCUUUCCCAGAGCGGGUGUUAGGCCUCUACAGGCAUCUGACGCGGUAGCUCUGAGCGUCCUCAGAGUCGGGUUGUUUGGGAAUGCAGCCCAAAGCAGGUGGUAA
rnacentral:rRNA from 1 species